AUUGUACGCUGGCGGCAUGCUUUACACAUGCAAGUCGAACGGUAACAGGCCUUCGGGUGCUGACGAGUGGCGAACGGGUGAGUAAUGCAUCGGAACGUGCCCAAUCGUGGGGGAUAACGUAGCGAAAGUUACGCUAAUACCGCAUAAGCCCUGAGGGGGAAAGCAGGGGAUCGCAAGACCUUGCGCGAAUGGAGCGGCCGAUGUCAGAUUAGCUAGUUGGUGGGGUAAAGGCCUACCAAGGCGACGAUCUGUAGCGGGUCUGAGAGGAUGAUCCGCCACACUGGGACUGAGACACGGCCCAGACUCCUACGGGAGGCAGCAGUGGGGAAUUUUGGACAAUGGGCGCAAGCCUGAUCCAGCCAUGCCGCGUGCGGGACGAAGGCCUUCGGUUGUAACCGCUUUCAGCCGGAAGAAUCGCAAGGCUAAUAUCCUUGUGGAUGACGGUACCGGAAGAAGAAG
rnacentral:rRNA from 1 species